UACGUAGGGGGCUAGCGUUGUCCGGAUUUAUUGGGCGUAAAGAGCGUGUAGGCGGCCAUGUAGGUCCGGUGUGAAAACUCGAGGCUUAACCUCGAGAUGUCAUCGGAAACCAUUUGGCUAGAGUCCGGAAGAGGAGAGUGGAAUUCCUGGUGUAGCGGUGAAAUGCGCAGAUAUCAGGAAGAACACCAAUGGCGAAAGCAGCUCGCUGGGACGUUACUGACGCUGAGACGCGAAAGCGUGGGGAGCAAACAGG
rnacentral:rRNA from 1 species